rnacentral:lncRNA from 1 species
UUCAGUUAAGUUUAGUUUUUACAUCAUAAACACCCUUACCUCCGCCCACUACCCCUAAACUCUUGAAGGACGCCAUAUCAGCCACUAUUACAUGUUUAUCGACCGCCAAAUUAAAAAAUCUACUAAAUCUCUCCUUCAGCACACCUCCAUUUGACCACGGGUUGCUCCAAAAUAAUAAUCUCCCCCAUCACCAAUCACAUUUGAUAAAGCAGUAGAGAGGCAACUACCAAACAUACCAUCACCCUUAUAUUUUUUCAUUAAAAAUUUAUACAAGUUCACACCCUUCUCUAUCCACCUUUAACCUCCAAUACCAUUUUCUCAACAAAGAUAAAU